rnacentral:rRNA from 1 species
AUUGAACGCUGGCGGCAUGCCUUACACAUGCAAGUCGAACGGCAGCACGGGAGCAAUCCUGGUGGCGAGUGGCGAACGGGUGAGUAAUAUAUCGGAACGUGCCCAGUCGUGGGGGAUAACGUAGCGAAAGCUACGCUAAUACCGCAUACGAUCUAUGGAUGAAAGCGGGGGAUCGCAAGACCUCGCGCGAUUGGAGCGGCCGAUAUCAGAUUAGGUAGUUGGUGGGGUAAAGGCUCACCAAGCCGACGAUCUGUAGCUGGUCUGUGAGGACGACCAGCCACACUGGGACUGAGACCCGGCCCAGACUCCUACGGGAGGCAGCAGUGGGGAAUUUUGGACAAUGGGCGCAAGCCUGAUCCAGCAAUGCCGCGUGCAGGAUGAAGGCCUUCGGGUUGUAAACUGCUUUUGUACGGAGCGAAAAGGCUUCCACUAAUACUGGGGGCUCAUGACGGUACCGUAAGAAUAAGCACCGGCUAACUACGUGCCAGCAGCCGCCGUAAGAC